UCGAUAAAUCCGCGGUCACACUGGCGAGCAGAGCAAUUGCGGAACAAAACAAAGUUUAUUGUCUUUAUUUGCCUUUAUUUCUAUUGUCGACCUGUCUGAUCAAUGUGGCUACAGUGCUACGAUCAAAAUCCGAUCAUCCUUGAGAUGAUUUAAAACCAAAAAAUUUUAUUUCUAUUGUCUCCGGUGGUGAGAACCUGUAAAUAAUUUGAAUCAAAUUCAUGCAAAUUCUAUAAAAAUGCAGAAAUUCAGUUCACAAGAAAAGUAUUUAAUUGCCAACACUCUCAACUGUUGGCCUGUGAUGCUGCAAGGACACUCUGUGCUGAUGGACCUAC